rnacentral:lncRNA from 1 species
AACACUUAGGCUCUGAUUGGUUUGUGGAAAAUGGUAAGUAAAAUUGUGAAAAGUCAAAGUAAUCAGAUUUCCUUGUUUGGUUAAAAUGUAAAUUAGUAGGUAAAGUAAUUUGGGGGGAAAAUGGAAAACAUUUUUAACCUAAAAUAAGGAAAAAGCUUUUUCCUCAAAAAAAGUGAGGAAAAGGGGGAAAAUAGAUCGGGGAUGAUUAUUCUCCACCUACCCACUGUGUUUUCAAUUUCUCCUCUAUCAUUCACAACAUCUUCGUCGGCCGACCGCCGCCGCCGACUACUGCUGCCAUCUCCGUCUCCACUUCUACCUCCACCACCAUCGAAACCUUUCCUCCGCUGCCAACUCUUCUCUCGGCCGCCGCCAUUAACCUCUCCUCCGCCGCCACUAACCUCUCCUUCGCCGCCACAAACCUCUCAAUCUUUCAUCCGGACCAGACCUGGUUAAGCUCCGCCGACCCGCCGCCGUCGGCAAUCCUAAAGUGGCGAAUAUCGUCAUAAACCCGCCGGAGAACUCGCCCCACUUGCUCAGAACCUCGUACGAGACCUCCAACUCGCCGUUGGAACUGUACAAGGUGAUAUUGUACGUCUUCACAGUAGUGGUGGUGGUGGUGGUGGUGAGGUGGGGGGCAUGAGGGGUGGUAGCCGGUAGGGAUGGGGUGCCUUGGAGUUUAGAUCUAUUUUAAUACUUUUUUAAGUGCAUUUAUUUAAUUUUUCUUUCUUUUUUUUUAUUUUGAGAAAUUGUUUUUAAACUCUUUCAUGAUUUUUAUAUAUAAAUAUUUGUUUUGGUUUAAUUUUAUUUUUUAGUGUUACAUAAAAAAAAAUCUGAAAAUACUUUGCAGUGUUUUGUCUAUGAUGCCAAACAAAACUGAAGAAAGUGAUUUUCAAACAAAUCAUUUUCAUGACCAAUUUUCCUAGCAACCAAACAUAAUUGGGAUUUCAAAUUUCAUCGUUUUCCUUUUUCUUUGCAUUUUCAUUUUCCACAUUUCAAAAUCCACAAUCCAAUCAGAGCCUUAGAGUUGGUGACUUUGGUUAUAAAAGAAUGAAGACUGUUUUCCAUUCCCUUGUUCAAAGGGCAUUGCCUCAAUUUCACCUAAAUAUUUUUGCAUCUAACAGACAUAAAAGCGCUUUUGCAUUUCCAAUAAAAGCGCAUCUUUGUAUUCCCGCGUUUUAUAUCUGUGUUAGUAAUAUUUGUACUGCAAUUAGUAAAAGUUAU